GACGAACGCUGGCGGCGUGCCUAAUACAUGCAAGUCGAACGCAGUGGGGCCGGGUGAGUAACACGUGGGUAACCUCCCAUCAGAGGGGAUAACACUUGGAAACAGGUGCUAAACCGAUACUGAUGGAUGGACCCGCGGUGCAUUAGGUAGUUGGUGAGGUGACGGCUCACCAAGGCAACGAUGCAUAGGCGGCUUGAGAGUGUGAUCGGCCACAAUGGUACUGAGACACGGCCCAUACUCCUACGGGAGGCAGCAGUAGGUAAGCUUCGGCAAUGGACGAAAGGCUGACCGAGCAACGCCGCGUGAGUGAAGAAGGUUUUCGGAUCGUAAAACUCUGUUGUUAGAGAAGCGGUAUCUAACCAGAAAGCCACGUCUAACUACGUGCCAGCCGCCGCGGUAAUAC
rnacentral:rRNA from 1 species